UACGGAGGAUGCGAGCGUUAUCCGGAUUUAUUGGGUUUAAAGGGUGCGUAGGCGGAUCAAUAAGUCAGUGGUGAAAUUCUGCAGCUUAACUGUAGACUUGCCAUUGAUACUGUUGGUCUUGAGUAUGGUCAAGGUAGGCGGAAUGUGUAAUGUAGCGGUGAAAUGCUUAGAUAUUACACAGAACACCGAUUGCGAAGGCAGCUUGCUGGGCCAAUACUGACGCUCAGGCACGAAAGCGUGGGGAUCGAACAGG
rnacentral:rRNA from 1 species